rnacentral:rRNA from 1 species
AACGCGAAGAACCUUACCUGGGCUCGAAAUGGAGUGGACCGGAGUGGAAACAUUCCUUCCCCGCAAGGGGCCGCUUUAUAGGUGCUGCAUGGCUGUCGUCAGCUCGUGUCGUGAGAUGUUGGGUUAAGUCCCGCAACGAGCGCAACCCUUACCCCCAGUUGCCAUCAUUUAGUUGGGCACUCUGGUGGAACCGCCUCGGAUAACGGGGAGGAAGGUGGGGAUGACGUCAAGUCCUCAUGGCCUUUAUGUCCAGGGCUACACACGUGCUACAAUGGCCGGUACAAACCGUCGCAAACCCGUGAGGGGGAGCUAAUCGGAAAAAGCCGGCCUCAGUUCGGAUCGCAGUCUGCAACUCGACUGCGUGAAGCUGGAAUCGCUAGUAAUCGCGGAUCAGAAUGCCGCGGUGAAUACGUUCCCGGGCCUUGUACACACCGGCUAC